rnacentral:misc_RNA from 1 species
GAUGAAGAACGUAGCAAAAUGCGAUAAGUAAUGUGAAUUGCAGAAUUCAGUGAAUCAUCGAAUCUUUGAACGCACAUUGCGCCCGCCAGUAUUCUGGCGGGCAUGCCUGUUCGAGCGUCAUUUCAACCCUCAAGCACAGCUUGGUGUUGGGACUCGCGUUAAUUCGCGUUCCCCAAAUUGAUUGGCGGUCACGUCGAGCUUUCAUAGCGUAGUAGUAAAACCCUCGUUACUGGUAAUCGUCGCGGCCACGCCGUUAAACCCCAACUUCUGAAUGUUGACCUCGGAUCAGGUAGGAAUACCCGCUGAACUUAAGCAUAUCAAUAAGCGGAGGA